UCCGCCCUUUGCUGGUGCUUAGGCCCACACGUUUCCCAUUCAUAGUCAGGGAUGUUACUCGGCUACGUUGCCUGUGCGCUGAGAUGCUGAUGCUGGUCAUCAUCCCUGAUGUCAGUCACUGACUCCAUCUUUUCUAACCCGAUUAUAAUGCGGACGACUUAACGUUAUUUCAAAUAAGGGUUUUAUACUGAGGGCUGCUGAUGUGUGACAAACACAGCAUUUCAACGUUUCCAACUGUGAUGCCUUGCUAAUGUUGUGAAUUAAUCUUACUGUUUAUACUUUAAAAUAUUUUAAAGUGGCAAGUUGUUUGACGCAGCUGUUUACACACAAGCUACUAAGGUACAAUGCUAAAUAUACAACACAUUAAUUACACUGAAUGAUGGUGGAAAAUAAUUAGACUGAUUUGAUUUAAAAUGAAAUGUAACAUGUUUAGCUCCUUAUGUGCACUUACUAAUCGUCUUCUUUGGUUUAGAUAUAUUUAAGAAAAUCUUUAUUCCAUUGCAAGUGAAAUCAGACAUUGCUGUGGUCAUUAAAGCUCCUGCACUGGCUGUAAAUCAGGUCAGGGCAUAAAAUAAAAUUUUAUCCUUCUAUUAAAUUAAAAAAGCUAUAAUACUAAACUGCUUUCAGAAAGUCCAGGACUUGUUCCUUGUGAUAAAAUUCUAAAGUCCUGAAAUGUUCUGGAUAUUUUCUGUUAGAUAAAAUCCUGGUAAAGAUAACAAGUUAUUUAUAAAGUAUUUUAGACGUUAAGAGCCAGUGUUAAGACCUUGGGUAAAGUUUAGGUGUUCUGUGGCUGAGACAGUUUAUGAUCGCAGGUAACGCACAUCCACCAAUACAAAACCACAAAAAAAGGAUACUACAUCAGAAACUAUUGUCAUAAGACAUUGUCCCAGAUGUGGCAGAGCACAUGGUGAAGCAAAUACACUGAACCCAUUCCAGCGCAGCAUAAACUGACUGAAGUUAUAACCAUUGCUUGAAUAUCUGUAUAAUGUAGGUUUAAAAGUAAAAAGACACACAAUGCCGUGGCGCAGUGGUUAGUGCUGUUGCCCAGGUCACGGGUUCAGUCCCCUCAUAGAGGGGUUGCGUCAGGAAGGGCAUCCGGUUUAAAAACUUGCCAAAUCAAUCAUGCAAAUUAUUCACUGUGUCCCUGACGGGAUGAAGCCGAAAGGAAGGAGGGAAAAACACAGUUUUUAACAGAAGUCUGUUAAAUCAUUUUAAUUCAUACUCCCCUACAAACAGGACUGAAAUACUGUGUUCUCCUCUCUUCUGGCCUGGUCCUUCCUUUAGUUGGAGAAGGUCUGUGAGCAGGCCAGGGAAGUGGAAAGUGUUUUGUGAAAGUGAUCCACAAUGAAUUCUGAUGUGUACAGUUGCUGUUAGUGAUUAGUUGGUCUUCUCAUGUUAUGGUGGAGCGUGAUGGCAUGAUAAUGCAAACUGGUAAAGAAUCCAGAUAAACGUCUGUGUCCCAUGUUUCCAUGGAAGCAUUUGAACGCAAGAAAGAUGACCAGAACCUGCACGUUAUGCAAAGCUGAGCCUGUGUAAAAUGGAAGCACCACAGUGAUGCACAGGAAACAAACUGGAUUCAUGGAUGAAAGCAAAACAGAACCUAAUGUUCACCACCGUGUGAUAUGGUAUAGUAUCAUUAAGUGCUAUGGUGUGAGAUGUUUGUUUGCUGACUUUGGGACAGUCGCACUAGAUGAGCUCUACUGUGAUUGGCGAGCAUCAGGUGGUUGCACAGUCAUCUCACUUGCAACAUAGCGAUGGAUGAUGCUGCCAUGGAAGAGCUCAUUGUUUUUGUUGGUGUGACAGUGGCUGCUUGUCUGUGUAUACACGUGGUCCUGUGAUGGACUGGUGACGUAUAAUGAAUAGUAAGUGGUAGAAGGUGAGCGAGUGAGGAACUUGUGGCUUAGAGUAAAUGCGGGUGGAUUCUUUUAAAUCAAGCCUGUUGGCAGCUGCAUCCUCACAACGGAACACAUCUCAAAGCCUGUUUUUUAAAUUGAUUUAUAUUUUGAUAUUUUAUUGAUCAAACAUUUUAUGUAUGUAUGAAUGUAUUAAUUAAUUAAUUAAAUAAUUGCUGGGUUUUACAUCAAUUAAUUAAGCUUUAAGAUGGUUGAACUCUAUGUGGCUUUUGCAUUUUUAAAGUGCAUUUUUACAUAAAUACUCUUAUUUGAGGUAUAGUAACACAGUGGUAAAAACUAUUAGAACUUUGUGCCAAUAACAGCAUUCAUUGAUGCAGAAUUACUUCAAACUGUAAGAGCUGCGUUGGUGCAAACUGCCGUGGCUGGAAUGGACAGAUGCUGUAGUGUUAGUGGCUGCACCUACAGCCUCACCAUCUUAAAGAAUUAAAAAUAGAUAGUUUAAAAAUAUAGAUAUAAACCUGAUAGAUCCCACUUUAGGUUUUAAUGAAUCAAUCUCAAAAUAAAUUCAGAUUUUUAAAAAUGUUACUAAUAAUAGCAACAAUGGAGGUGCUGCUCCAAGUUUGAUCAUACCUGUAGAAAGAUGGGAUGAAGAUGAAAACAGAAGUACAGCUGAGGCGUAGUUAAGUGGACAGGAUAGUCCGAGUUAGCGAUCUACAGUAAAGGCUCGACUGCAGCCACCUGAAAGGCCUGUGGAGCGUAGCCUCUUAGCAGAAGGGGCCUGGUUUGCUUUUGUGAUGUGUUGAUUUGAAUGAACCUGGAGUGGUUUUUGUUUCUCUCUCCCUAGACAGGUAAAAGGUACAAUAAACAGAAAACUGUCUCGCCUAGUGUCUGAUCCCGACUGUACAGGUCAGAUACUAAAAGUUUCCUCCUACUGGUGGGGGCACUGGAUUUUUGUUAUUGAUUACUGAUUUUGCUAUUGCUAGAAAUGGGGGUGUCUACAUUUGUUCGACGCAUUUAGGUUCAUAGGGGAACACAACUUUCCAACUAAGAACAAAAACAACUUGUACGGAAAGCUACAAGACAAUGUUGUUACUUACAAUAAAGCUCUGACCUAAUAAAGAUAUGUUUAAACGUGAUAUAAUUGUCAGCUUUGACAAUGGCUUUGGUGCACAAGGCCAUCUUAUCAUCAUAAACAUCAAUCAUGAUAAAAUUUUGUGGCCAUAUUGCUAAUAAUUAGUCAACACUUCAUGAAUUUUAAAGUCGCCCAAGGUCAAGACCCAAGGUCUCAAACCAUGAGACGUGCAUUUCAUUCAGGGAUUUGUUCAGAGUAGUUAAGCUCAAUAACACCCAAAGCAGGUGCCUGAUGACUUGUUAGUAAUAAAUAGUUUACAUAAGCACUGUCAAAUACUAUUAAAAUAUACAGCGAUCAAACCCACGGCUCUGAUUUGACAACAUGUAAUUCCAAUGGUGGCCUUGCUAAUACUUCACUCUCUAGUAACUCACAGAGCUUCACCAGUGUGUGAGGUUAUUGGACACGCAUGGAGUGUACAAACACACAAGGUGCCCCUCACAUCACUCCACUUGUUGAAGGUUAUGCACCAUCACCUGCAGGAUGUUUGGAGGCGUCGGUUACCAAGGCAUGAGCCGCUAGCUCCAUACAGGCACAAAUCACCUGGAAGUCUCCAGCACCAGAUUAUGGGCCUGAGUCUGAGUCAGUCAGAGCUGUGGGCACCAAAAGAGGUGGAGAAAGACUACAGUUAGAUUUGGGAUAAAUCAAGGCAUCGAGAGCCAGUUCACACAAAAAGGCAGGGAAGCAGAAGCCAAGCUCCCACAACUCCCUGCAGGCCUUUGAGGUCUAAGAACCAACGUGGGGCCUUUGUAGUACUCAACAACUAUAAUUAAACUGGUCAUCCUUUAAUACGUGGUACAUUCCCAUUGUCAUAGCCUUCUAGUGGCUUCUAAUGAGGCUUUCCCACAUGUUGUAUUCCACACUUUGCUCCUAGAUUCAGAGAGUCUGAGAAAUGAUUGCCAAACAAUUGUGAAAGAUUGUUAUCCAUAUGUAGCAACUCUGUAUAAUAUACCAGAUAUAGAAAUGUGUGGUUGAUUAAUUUUCUGUUAAGUAAUCAUUGAUUGAUCAAGCUCAGAUGGAAGGCUUUGGGUCUGACCCAGUAGGAGCAAACCAGCUUCCCAGUCGUCUCUAGCCGAUGCAAAACCAGUGUGUAAAAUCAGUCUUUUUCUCUGAGGUCUUUCAUAAAAGGGAUGUGUCUUGCAUCAACCAGAAUGUGAGAUCUCAAGCGCUCAAUUUGUUGUCACAUAUUCCCUUAAGGGAAAAAGGUGACUCUGUAUUUUAUUGUUUAUUGUACACCCCUAUAUGUAUUGUAAUAAAUACUGUAUAUGUUU